UCUGGCCUACAUAUGCAAACUCUUGUAAACCAGGAUACGUUUUUAAAGCUGUAAAUGGAAGCAGCUGUUAAGCUCUCUCUAAGGAUGAAGUUUUUCAGCUGCCUGAGCCCGCUCCUUUCGCCUUUGGACACGCAGCAAAUUGUGGACGUUAAAAUCACAGGACCAUUCAAGAUUUCUUUAUGUACAUUGCUGGAUGCUGAAGAGGACAGAGGACACUAACCUGGGUGGACAAACGUCUGUCUUGCAUUUGUGAUUUCAUCAUCUUGCCAUAAUAACUAGGAGAGAAUAGAGCAAAGGGAUUCCCUGAAGUGGAUGACAGAUGAAAGCUGGAGGAAAAAAGUCCUUUCUUGAAGAGAGAUCUUGGUGGUUGAUUGCAUUCAUCACAUAAGUAAUACUCAGAAAAUGUGAGACACCAAAAUAUAGG
rnacentral:lncRNA from 10 species